rnacentral:lncRNA from 11 species
AUUCCCAUUUGCUGCUAUAUGCUGCUACCGAAGAGGCCAGAAACACCUCCAGCAAGCCCUUCUGUUGCUGCCUUUGGGACUCCAUGUGAGUAGACUACAGGCCCAGGCCUUUUCUAUCUGGGUGUGACUCAGCACUUUCAAGGGGGGUGUAGCUAUAAGCCUGAGUCCACAAGGCUGAGGAAUCUACUGUGCUCCUGUAGAAGAGGCCAGAAAUACCUUCAGCAAGCCCUGCUGUUGCUGCCUUUGGGACUCCAUGGGAGGCUCCAUGCAGACCAGCACAACACUCAGUCACCUAGAAGACAGAGGUCAAAAAAUUAUAGACCACUUUCUGCAGGAGUGCAUUCUCUGUAGCUUCAAGCAUCUUUCAUAGCAUUAUGUUGUGAUUAGCAAACAUCUUUGAACAAACCACAUCUCUAUUUUGUAUAUUGUGUCAAGUUCCGUAUUUUCAAGAAGGUCAGCUUAUGGUAUAAUUUACAACUAAUGUUGUACUGUUUAUGGAGCUGGAUGGAAUACUUUUAAAGGCAUCAGAUCCCAUUUGAUAUUGGAAGCUAAGCAGGGUCAGGUUUGGAUAGUAUUUGAAUGAGAGCCCACCAAUAAAUACCAGAUGCUGUGGGCUAUAUUUCAGAGGAAGAAAUUGCCAAAAUUAAGAAAUUCUGAGUAUUUCUUGCUUAUGAAAGUCCUGUAAAAUUAAUUGGUUUGCCAUAAGUCGACAGGAGACUUUACUAACACACAAAUUGUCUAUCGAUGAAAGUUAAGCAAGAAAGAAUAAAAGCGGAACUGUAGAUAAAUAUGAAGACGAC